rnacentral:lncRNA from 1 species
GUCCGAGUGUGGUGGCAUGCCUAGUACGAGAUCUGGUUCAGGACAUGUAGGAUAGCAGUUCACAGCCAUGACUUGGGAUCCUUCAUCAAUGCCCUCAUGUAAGUACUUAGGGCUUAGCCCUAAGUUCUCAAAUACAACUCCCAUCAACUUUCUAUGCAAUGCAUGCACGGCUUGCGUAUAGUUUCCCAUUUUUUCCCUACAAAAUGGCAAAACAUGAUGUUAUGUUAUAGGUUAAAGAAUUAGGUAUUUAAUUAGCUUUAUUGAUGCUUUGCAAAGCUUCUUUCAAGUGGCCCUAAAUCUACUUACUUGUAGGUUUUUGGAUUUGAUGGCCAUUGGUCGAUCCAAGUUGAAAUCGGAUGAGAGUAAUGUUUGAUGAAGUCUCUCCAAAAGAGAACCCUAUCCUCAACAUGAUUCAGACUGGUUCCAUAUCUAACAGGUUCGCGGAUAUUGGCUGAUGCAAGUGACAUCUUCUCUUCGUGUGGCAACUCAAAGAAGUCAGUUGCAGCGUCUAGGGCAUCAUUCAUGACUGAAAGAGGUAUCCCAUGAUUAAUGACCUGCAAAACAUACGAGUCAUUAAUUGUUGCAUUACCGUGGCAUAUGCAUGCAUGCCAAUCCUAUGCCAAUGGAAAUUGCUAUUCUGCCUAGCUUCUUUUUGUUGCUCAACAGCUUCGAGCUUUUUGCUCCAGGUUUUUGCAUUAUUGCAAAAACCAGGUAAAUAUUUCGAUGAAACACAGAAAUCAUGCGGGAUCUUAGUUAAUGGCAGUGAAUGGUGCUACUCAUGCAUGUCACAAGGAACAUGAAUUCCUGCAUGUUCGUUGCAUGACCACUCCAAUACGUUAUACCAUUGAGGUUGGUAAAUCAUUAGCAAAAUCAACAAAAAUCUGAAAAUAUGAAAUAUAUGUCCGUACAUGCAUGGUGUUCUCAGAAACUUCUUGUCUUUCUCUUCAGGAAAAAUCAUGCGAUUCUUGUGCAUGCAAGAGACAGGAUUAACGGCCUAUAAUGUAUACCUGGAAAAAUCCUGAGUCCUUGCAUGCCAGGCGUACUUCCU